rnacentral:lncRNA from 1 species
AUGACUCGGAUCCCACUCAAGUUCCAUUCCAGCCAGCAACAGAUCAUCUUGCCAGAUGGUGCACAUCUGGACACCCCAGGCAGCAAGAGAGUUUGGAGAAACAUCUCGAAUGCAGGAGAGAUAAAAACUGAGGUGACUGAGUUUGGAGACUUGCUCUCUUUGUCUCUGUAACAUGUGAGCACACAGCAAGAAAUAGUCAUCUACAAACCAGAAACAGUCAGUGAGCUGUUGAUCUUGAAUUGUACAGCCACCAAAAAUGUGAGAAAAUAAAUUCCUGUUGUUUAAGCCA